GCCUCGGCGGUGUGGUGGUACAGCUCGCGUCCCCGGUAAGGAUGAAACGCGGGUUCGAUCCCUGCCUGAGGCC